rnacentral:rRNA from 1 species
CAAGUCGAGGGGCAGCACAGGUAGCAAUACCGGGUGGCGACCGGCAAACGGGUGCGGAACACGUACACAACCUUCCUUUAAGUGGGGGAUAGCCCAGAGAAAUUUGGAUUAAUACCCCGUAAUAUAAAGAUGUGGCAUCACAUUUUUAUUAUAGCUACGGCGCUUAAUGAUGGGUGUGCGGCUGAUUAGGUAGUUGGCGGGGUAAUGGCCCACCAAGCCUACGAUCAGUAGCUGAUGUGAGAGCAUGAUCAGCCACACGGGCACUGAGACACGGGCCCGACUCCUACGGGAGGCAGCAGUAAGGAAUAUUGGACAAUGGGCGCAAGCCUGAUCCAGCCAUGCCGCGUGAAGGAUUAAGGUCCUCUGGAUUGUAAACUUCUUUUAUUUGGGACGAAAAAAGGGAAAUCUUUCCCACUUGACGGUACCAGAUGAAUAAGCACCGGCUAACUCCGUGCCAGCAGCCGCGGU